UACAGAGGGGGCAAGCGUUAUUCGGAAUUAUUGGGCGUAAAGAGCUCGUAGGUGGUUCGGUAAGUCGGAUGUGAAAUCUCCAGGCUCAACCUUGAUGGGUCAUUCGAUACUGCCGUGACUAGAGGUCGGUAGGGGAGUGUGGAAUUCCUGGUGGAGCGGUGAAAUGCGCAGAUAUCAGGAGGAACACCCGUAGCGAAGGCGGCACUCUGGGCCGAUACUGACACUGAGGAGCGAAAGCGUGGGGAGCGAACAGG
rnacentral:rRNA from 1 species